GGUUAAGCGACUAAGCGUACACGGUGGAUGCCCUGGCAGUCAGAGGCGAUGAAGGGCGUGCUAAUCUGCGAUAAGCGCCGGUAAGGUGAUAUGAACCGUUAUAACCGGCGAUACCCGAAUGGGGAAACCCAGUGUGAUUCGUCACACUAUCAUUAACUGAAUCCAUAGGUUAAUGAGGCGAACCGGGGGAACUGAAACAUCUAAGUACCCCGAGGAAAAGAAAUCAACCGAGAUUCCCCCAGUAGCGGCGAGCGAACGGGGAGGAGCCCAGAGCCUGAAUCAGCAUGUGUGUUAGUGGAAGCGUCUGGAAAGGCGCGCGAUACAGGGUGACAGCCCCGUACACAAAAGCGCAUGGUGUGACUGCGUACCUUUUGUAUAAUGGGUCAGCGACUUAUAUUCUGUAGCAAGGUUAACCGAAUAGGGGAGCCGGAGGGAAACCGAGUCUUAAYYGGGCGUUAAGUUGCAGGGUAUAGACCCGAAACCCGGUGAUCUAGCCAUGGGCAGGUUGAAGGUUGGGUAACACUAACUGGAGGACCGAACCGACUAAUGUUGAAAAAUUAGCGGAUGACCUGUGGCUGGGGGUGAAAGGCCAAUCAAACCGGGAGAUAGCUGGUUCUCCCCGAAAGCUAUUUAGGUAGCGCYUCGUGAAUUCAUCUCCGGGGGUAGAGCACUGUUUCGGCUAGGGGGCCAUCCCGGCUUACCAACCCGAUGCAAACUGCGAAUACCGGAGAAUGUUAUCACGGGAGACACACGGCGGGUGCUAACGUCCGUCGUGAAGAGGGAAACAACCCAGACCGCCAGCUAAGGUCCCAAAGUCAUGGUUAAGUGGGAAACGAUGUGGGAAGGCCCAGACAGCCAGGAUGUUGGCUUAGAAGCAGCCAUCAUUUAAAGAAAGCGUAAUAGCUCACUGGUCGAGUCGGCCUGCGCGGAAGAUGUAACGGGGCUAAACCAUGCACCGAAGCUGCGGCAGCGACRCUGAUGYGUUGUUGGGUAGGGGAGCGUUCUGUAAGCCUGCGAAGGUGGCCUGUGAGGGUUGCUGGAGGUAUCAGAAGUGCGAAUGCUGACAUAAGUAACGAUAAAGCGGGUGAAAAGCCCGCUCGCCGGAAGACCAAGGGUUCCUGUCCAACGUUAAUCGGGGCAGGGUGAGUCGACCCCUAAGGCGAGGCCGAAAGGCGUAGUCGAUGGGAAACGGGUUAAUAUUCCCGUACUUGGUGUUACUGCGAAGGGGGGACGGAGAAGGCUAUGUUGGCCGGGCGACGGUUGUCCCGGUUUAAGCGUGUAGGYKKGUKUUCCAGGYAAAUCCGGAAAAUCAAGGCUGAGGCGUGAYGACGAGGCACUACGGUGCUGAAGCAACAAAUGCCCUGCUUCCAGGAAAAGCCUCUAAGCAUCAGGUAACAUCAAAUCGUACCCCAAACCGACACAGGUGGUCAGGUAGAGAAUACCAAGGCGCUUGAGAGAACUCGGGUGAAGGAACUAGGCAAAAUGGUGCCGUAACUUCGGGAGAAGGCACGCUGACACGUAGGUGAAGUGAUUUACUCAUGGAGCUGAAGUCAGUCGAAGAUACCAGCUGGCUGCAACUGUUUAUUAAAAACACAGCACUGUGCAAACACGAAAGUGGACGUAUACGGUGUGACGCCUGCCCGGUGCCGGAAGGUUAAUUGAUGGGGUCAGCGCAAGCGAAGCUCCUGAUCGAAGCCCCGGUAAACGGCGGCCGUAACUAUAACGGUCCUAAGGUAGCGAAAUUCCUUGUCGGGUAAGUUCCGACCUGCACGAAUGGCGUAAUGAUGGCCAGGCUGUCUCCACCCGAGACUCAGUGAAAUUGAACUCGCUGUGAAGAUGCAGUGUACCCGCGGCAAGACGGAAAGACCCCGUGAACCUUUACUAUAGCUUGACACUGAACAUUGAGCCUUGAUGUGUAGGAUAGGUGGGAGGCUUUGAAGUGUGGACGCCAGUCUGCAUGGAGCCGACCUUGAAAUACCACCCUUUAAUGUUUGAUGUUCUAACGUGGACCCGUUACCCGGGUUGCGGACAGUGUCUGGUGGGUAGUUUGACUGGGGCGGUCUCCUCCUAAAGAGUAACGGAGGAGCACGAAGGUUGGCUAAUCCUGGUCGGACAUCAGGAGGUUAGUGCAAUGGCAUAAGCCAGCUUGACUGCGAGCGUGACGGCGCGAGCAGGUGCGAAAGCAGGUCAUAGUGAUCCGGUGGUUCUGAAUGGAAGGGCCAUCGCUCAACGGAUAAAAGGUACUCCGGGGAUAACAGGCUGAUACCGCCCAAGAGUUCAUAUCGACGGCGGUGUUUGGCACCUCGAUGUCGGCUCAUCACAUCCUGGGGCUGAAGUAGGUCCCAAGGGUAUGGCUGUUCGCCAUUUAAAGUGGUACGCGAGCUGGGUUUAGAACGUCGUGAGACAGUUCGGUCCCUAUCUGCCGUGGGCGCUGGAGAACUGAGGGGGGCUGCUCCUAGUACGAGAGGACCGGAGUGGACGCAUCACUGGUGUUCCCUGAGACUUAGAGUCUCCUGAAGGAACGUUGAAGACGACGACGUUGAUAGGCCGGGUGUGUAAGCGCAGCGAUGCGUUGAGCUAACCGGUACUAAUGAACCGUGAGGCUUAACCUU
rnacentral:rRNA from 1 species